rnacentral:lncRNA from 1 species
UUUUUUUUUUUUUUUUUUUUUUUUGCAAUCAAGUAAAAUCAACUACUGUGACUAAGAAAUAAUCUGCCGAGUGCCUAACCUGGUGCUCUAGCAAGAAAGAACUCUACUCAUCCAUCCUGUUACCCACAUUGCCUACCAACGGUCAGAAAGAUAGUCUUACUUUUUUAUUGAAACACAAGCACUUUUAUAAAAUUCGAGUUGACUUCGGACAUUGUGGAAAGUACAUAGGAAAUGUUGCCUUUUAUUCUCUCAUUUGGAAACUAUCAAAAGUCCCCGGACCUGGUUGCUUGCUCUUUUUGUUCUUAUAUUUGAUGGAGGAAGUAAAAUAAAAUUAAGUUGCAGUUAUUGAUGGUUGCCAUCGCUUUGGCUUCUUGAAGAAAUCUAUGCAUUUUAAAGACAAAACUAAAGCAUGGGAUCUUAAGUGAAGCGGCAGGAUGGGUCAUUGUGCGUGGCAGUCAUUCCCGGGUCCGGUGGUGUUUCUUCCUCUGAACGCCCUGGUAGCUUUCACUGCAAACGAAGGCAGUUUCCCCAGAGUUACCAUUACUUAUGGCUGUUAGAGGAUCAGCUCAUAAUUCUGUGACACACGGGAUCUUGGCAUGGUAAAUUCCGUUUCCCAGGACUUGAACCUUUAUGCUACAUUUUUGAAGAUUUUUUGAUAACAGCUAAUUAGUAAAAAAAAUAUUUUUGAUCUAAAUAUAGGCUCUGCAUACCUGUUAGAUUUUAAACAUUGCCAGUGUUUUGUCUUGUUAGUUCACAUUUUUGUCUAGGCAAGGAACAUAAGAUUUCAAAUAAAAUUUUGAACCAAAAACAUUUAUAAUGCAGUUCGGAUUUUUCUAUUACUUUUUAUACUGUACCUUAAAAGCAUUAGGCUGAAAGAGUUUAUUUUGGUGGUCAAAAAAUAUGCUUCCACUCAUGUAACUAUUUUAAAUGGUAAGAUGUAAAAUAAUGAAAGACACCUAAAUUGCUUUAUUCAGUAAACAGGUUUUUUUAAGAAUGUUUAUCUCAGCCGGUAGGCAUAUACUUGGUAUAAGAGAAGUUGGUCUUUUUCUUGUUGAAACGCGUUAGCUGGUUAAAGAUAUUCUUGAAAUUUUUUUUUCUGAUUGUAAUUAAUUUUUGAAAAUAUAGAAAGCUCUUUAUUCCUUGUAAGUAUUCAAGAUGCCUGCUUUUUUUAUGCAAUUGUGGAGAGAAUGUCAGAUGUUUUAAUAUAUUUGUUAAUCUGAAAACUUUGCUAUUGAGUCAUUUUCUUCGUUUGGAAGACGGAGGGACAAAAGUGUUUUUUAUCAAAGUAGGCAAUGGAGGUAACAAAUCACGUGCAUUUUUUAGGAAAAAUAUUUACAGAGUCAUAGAAUACGCACCUUUGAAAAAUCGUGGAUAGUGUGCAUUUACGGUUUAUGCAUUUCGGAACAUACAGCUUCACAAUUCGACGGUGGUGUUUGCAUUUGUGGGCGGAUGGAUAUGGUUCUUAGUUUGCUGUUUGGGAACAGACUGUAGCCUUCUCUUCAAAAAUAUGCCCCAGCACUUAAUCGGUGAUAAUCAAGCCACACACAGCACCCACUGGUGCUGAGAGUGAGCAGAAACUGAGACCAAAAUCAAAUGUGCCCUUUGGGGAGAAAAGAGGUAACUUCACGCCAACCUGACGGGGUGAGGGAGGGUCAGGAAUGGACUGAUCCAAUCGGCCUUUGUCCCCUCAAACUGCGUGUGUGUGUGUGUGUGUGUGUGUGUGUGUGUGUGUGUGUACACACAACCAUAAUCUGGAACUUUAGGAAAUAAGACCAUUUUCUUACUGCAAAAAGAACUAGAUGUCAUUCCUAACAGGUUUCUUUCUAAAUUGCACUAAUUAAUAUUGGACUAUUACGAGUCCAUCAAUUUCUGAUGUCUCGAUGUUUUUUGCAAUCCUUGUGAAAAGCAUUCUUGAUUUAAAUGUUACUAACACAUAUUCUUUAAUAAGUUCCUUAACACUGGCUUUUUUUUUAAGUUGUACAAAUAGGUUUUUCUCUUGUGGCUUUAGCACUUUAAGAAGUUUGGUGUUUGCAUCGCUUUCGGUGUGUCCAGCAGCGUUUCCCGGUAUGUGGGCCACACGACCCGGGAGGAACCUCAGUGGUCGUCUUUAGAUUCCGGAGGAGAAAACCAUGAGUCAAUGUCAGGUUUUUAAAAAAAUUCCAUUUAGAGACAGCCGUUUGGGAACCAAAAGAGGCCCAAGAAAUGGGAAAAAGACCAAAAAAAAAAAAAAAUUUCAAUCUGCUUGAACCCCUGUAUUCAAUUUGUCACCCAAUAGUUAGUCAUUUAAGAAACUUAGGUUUGGAGCUCCCUGGUGGCUCUGGGUUCAGGUGCUGGUGUUGUCACUGCUGUGGCGCAUGUUUGAGCCCUGGCUUGAGAACUUCCUCAGGCCACACGCAGGGCCAAAACAAACACCAACCCCAAAAAACCCUUGGGUUUGCCCUUUGUUCUUAGUAAUAACGGGCUUGUCAAGUUUUGCAACUGGCACUGUGGCACUCCCGCCGCAUCCGGUUUGGUCGCAGGCAUACACACCUCUCUGACCUGUACUUCUUCCCAAAGGGACAGGAGGAGUUCCCGCUGUGGCUCGGAGGGUUAAGAACCAGACGUUGUCUCUGUGAGGACUCAGGUUCCACCCCUGGCCUCACUCAGUGGUAUACGGAUCCUGCGUUGCCGUGGCUGUGGUGUAGGCUGCAGCUGCAACUCCGAUUUGACUCCUGGAGGUUCCAUAUGCUGCAGGUGUGGCUAUAAAAAGAAAAACGAACAAGCAAACAAAAAAGGGACAGAGGCAUGGAGGGAGGGAUAAAUUAGGAGUUUGGAAUUAGCAGAUACACGCUACUGUAUAUAAAAUAGAUAGCCGACAAGGACCUACUGUAUUACUGUACAGCACAGGGAACUAUACUCAGUACAUUGUAAUAACCUAUAAAGAAAAAGAAUGUAUGUGUGUGUUUAUAUUUAUAUAUAUACGUAGAGAGAGAAAAAACUGAAUUGUUGUGCUGCAGUCUGAAACUAACGAUAUUAUAACUCAACUACUUACAUUAAAAUUUUUCUUUAAUAAAAGAAAAGAACCCGAGUUUCCUCCUGCUGUCACAACAGGAUUGGCGCUGUGCCAGGAUGCAGCACAGCGGGUUAAGGAUCCAGCGUUGCCUCAGCUUCCGGGGUAGGUCGCAACUGUGACAUGGAUCUGAUCCCUGGCCCGGGAGCUCCAAAUGC